GCAGGACAUGCAGGGUUGACUGUUUAAUUCUAAUGAUGCGCUUGCACUGUGCUUGUUGGGGAUAGUUCCCUGGUCUCCCCAAAAGCGGGUCACCAGUGAACUAAGGUGGGACAGGACCAGGAAAUCUUUACUGUCAGUUGGGAGGCCUGUUAUAAGCACCAAAACAACUUCAGCUUAUUUGGUUAGUUUAGUUUAUAGCUCAUGCACCUGCAGGGCAACUGCUCAAUUCUCUGCCAUUUAGAAGUUAAAUCACUUUGUUUAUGCAGCCCUAGGAGCGUCUUCCCUGCAUGUGACCUUACAC